rnacentral:rRNA from 1 species
AGAGUUUGAUCAUGGCUCAGGAUGAACGCUAGCUACAGGCUUAACACAUGCAAGUCGAGGGGAAACGACAUCGAAAGCUUGCUUUUGAUGGGCGUCGACCGGCGCACGGGUGAGUAACGCGUAUCCAACCUGCCCAUCACUUGGGGAUAACCUUGCGAAAGUAAGACUAAUACCCAAUGAUAUCUCUAGAAGGCAUCUGAAAGAGAUUAAAGAUUUAUCGGUGAUGGAUGGGGAUGCGUCUGAUUAGCUUGUUGGCGGGGUAACGGCCACCAAAGCAACGGAUCAGUAGGGGUUCUCGAGAGGAAGGUCCCCCACAUUGGAACUGAGACACGGUCCAAACUCCUACGGGAGCA